UACGAAGGGGGCUAGCGUUGCUCGGAAUUACUGGGCGUAAAGGGCGCGUAGGCGGACAUUUAAGUUAGAGGUGAAAGCCCAGGGCUCAACCCUGGAACAGCCUUUAAUACUGGAUGUCUUGAGUUCGGGAGAGGUGAGUGGAACUCCGAGUGUAGAGGUGAAAUUCGUAGAUAUUCGGAAGAACACCAGUGGCGAAGGCGACUCACUGGCCCGAUACUGACGCUGAGGCGACGAAAGCGUGGGGAGCAAACAGG
rnacentral:rRNA from 1 species